rnacentral:pre_miRNA from 1 species
UGGACAGAUUAUUGUAUUCGACUGUAUUCACGACGUGAAAUAGGGGAUUACAUUGUUUUUAAACGGAAAGUGAAUCAAUUAACAUAAUAGACUCCU